rnacentral:rRNA from 1 species
CCUACGGGUGGCAGCAGUGGGGAAUAUUGGACAAUGGGGGGAACCCUGAUCCAGCGACGCCGCGUGAGUGAAGAAGUAUUUCGGUAUGUAAAGCCCUAUCAGCAGGGAAGAACAAUGACGGUACCUGACUAAGAAGCACCGGCUAAAUACGUGCCAGCAGCCGCGGUAAUACGUAUGGUGCAAGCGUUAUCCGGAUUUACUGGGUGUAAAUGGAGCGCAGGCGGCGCGUUAAGCCUGGUGGGAAAGCCCGCGGCCCAACCGCGGGACUGCAUUGGGAACUGGCGCGCGGGAGUGCCGGAGGGGUAGGCGGAAGGCCAGGGGUAGCGGUGAAAGGCGUAGAGAGUGGGAGGAACAGCAGUGGCGAAGGCGGCCUACUGGGGGGAGACUGACGCUGAGGGUCGAAAGCGUGGGGAGCAAACAGGAUUAGAUACCCCUGUAGGC